rnacentral:rRNA from 1 species
UACGUAGGGUGCAAGCGUUGUCCGGAAUUAUUGGGCGUAAAGGGCUCGUAGGCGGUCUGUCACGUCGGGAGUGAAAACUCAGGGCUUAACCCUGAGCCUGCUUCCGAUACGGGCAGACUAGAGGUAUGCAGGGGAGAACGGAAUUCCUGGUGUAGCGGUGAAAUGCGCAGAUAUCAGGAGGAACACCGGUGGCAAAGGCAGCCCCCUGGGCUGAGAUUGACGCUCAGGCACGAAAGCGUGGGGAGCAAACAGG